rnacentral:rRNA from 1 species
UACGGAGGGUGCAAGCGUUAUCCGGAUUCACUGGGCUUAAAGGGUGCGUAGGUGGGCAAGUAAGUCAGUGGUGAAAUCUCCGGGCUUAACCCGGAAACUGCCAUUGAUACUAUUUGUCUUGAAUACUGUGGAGGUCAGCGGAAUAUGUCAUGUAGCGGUGAAAUGCUUAGAUAUGACAUAGAACACCAAUGGCGAAGGCAGCUGGCUACACAAAUAUUGACACUGAGGCACGAAAGCGUGGGGAGCAAACAGG